AUUGAACGCUGGCGGCAUGCUUUACACAUGCAAGUCGAACGGUAACAGGUCUUCGGAUGCUGACGAGUGGCGAACGGGUGAGUAAUGCAUCGGAACGUGCCCAGUCGUGGGGGAUAACGCAGCGAAAGCUGUGCUAAUACCGCAUACGAUCUAUGGAUGAAAGCGGGGGAUCGCAAGACCUCGCGCGAUUGGAGCGGCCGAUGUCAGAUUAGCUAGUUGGUGGGGUAAAGGCCCACCAAGCCGACGAUCUGUAGCUGGUCUGAGAGGACGACCAGCCACACUGGGACUGAGACACGGCCCAGACUCCUACGGGAGGCAGCAGUGGGGAAUUUUGGACAAUGGGCGAAAGCCUGAUCCAGCCAUGCCGCGUGCAGGAUGAAGGCCUUCGGGUUGUAAACUGCUUUUGUACGGAACGAAAAAGUCUUCUCUAAUACAGGGGGCGAAUGACGGUACCGUAAGAAUAAGCACCGGCUAACUACGUGCCAGCAGCCGCGGUAAUA
rnacentral:rRNA from 1 species